rnacentral:rRNA from 1 species
AUUGAACGCUGGCGGCAGGCUUAACACAUGCAAGUCGAACGGUAACAUAAAGAAGCUUGCUUCUUUGAUGACGAGUGGCGGACGGGUGAGUAAUGCUUGGGAAUCUAGCUUAUGGAGGGGGAUAACUACGGGAAACUGUAGCUAAUACCGCGUAAUAUCGAAAGAUUAAAGUGUGGGACCUUCGGGCCACAUGCCAUAGGAUGAGCCCAAGUGGGAUUAGGUAGUUGGUGAGGUAAAGGCUCACCAAGCCGACGAUCUCUAGCUGGUCUGAGAGGAUGACCAGCCACACUGGGACUGAGACACGGCCCAGACUCCUACGGGAGGCAGCAGUGGGGAAUAUUGCGCAAUGGGGGCAACCCUGACGCAGCCAUGCCGCGUGAAUGAAGAAGGCCUUCGGGUUGUAAAGUUCUUUCGGUAGCGAGGAAGGCACUUAGUUUAAUAGACUAGGUGAUUGACGUUAACUACAGAAGAAGCACCGGCUAACUCCGUGCCAGCAGCCGCGGUAAUACGGAGGGUGCGAGCGUUAAUCCGAAUAACUGGGCGUAAAGGGCACGCAGGCGGUGACUUAAGUGAGGUGUGAAAGCCCCGGGCUUAACCUGGGGAAUUGCACUUCAUACUGCGUCGCAAAGUACUUUAAGGAGGGGUAAAAUUCCCCUUGUAUCGGUGAAAAUGAGUCAAA